rnacentral:lncRNA from 1 species
AUGUGACUUCGUGUUUCUGUGCUACAUGAGACUAGUGUCCUCAUCUUCCAUCGUGACAACCCUUCUCUCUCCCCCAACCCUCUCCCCCGCCCACAGUGCCAACAGGCUCUGGGCAAAGCUGCCCCGUUUUCUUUUAACCUAAGGGAUGCCAUGGUUUGGCUGACUAUGUUUGACUACCACCACUGAAGGCAGCUGAUGUCUCAAGCAGCUGGAUACUGUGGCGAUGGGAAUCAGACGAGGAGACCGCAGUCAAAAAGAAAGUUACUCAGCAACUGAUUUCCUCUCUUUGGACUGAAAAAUUAAACAGAUACUAAAUUAUGACAGUGAAUUUAGAAAGGAGGGCUCCAAGGGCUUGAAAGAACAUAUCUGGGAUGAUAUGAUGCUUCUAAGAGUACUGCAAUCACAUUGUGGCGAUCACCGGAGCAUGCCGCAUAACUACCUCCUUGGCUAAUCUGCUGUCUUCUUGGUGAUGACUAAUCCUCUUCUAUUAAACAGCAGUAAUGCUGGAAGAACUCAACUGUACAAGUGUAAUGAAGCCAGUAUUCUCCCUGGACAGAUUAGCUACAACUGACUUGACACAUACCAUCAUAAGGGCUUCAAACCUGACAAACUCUGUGCUUGCUUCUGAUUUAUGCCAUCAAGCUCCUCAGAGAAGGGAUGGAAUCCAAGUGUUCCGCUUGGUAGUACUGAUGUGCUUAACUGCCAGUUAAGGAAAGUUGCCCCUCCCCCUCAC